rnacentral:rRNA from 1 species
GUAGGGAAUAUUGGGCAAUGGUCGGAAGACUGACCCAGCCAUGCCGCGUGCAGGAAGACGGCCCUCUGGGUUGUAAACUGCUUUUAUCUGGGAAGAAAAAGGCCAUGCGUGGCAAAUUGCCGGUACCAGAUGAAUAAGCACCGGCUAACUCCGUGCCAGCAGCCGCGGUAAUACGGAGGGUGCGAGCGUUGUCCGGAUUUAUUGGGUUUAAAGGGUGUGUAGGCGGCUGAUUAAGUCAGCGGUGAAAGACUUCGGCUUAACCGGAGCAGUGCCGUUGAUACUGGUUGGCUUGAGUGUCGGAGGGGUACAUGGAAUUGAUGGUGUAGCGGUGAAAUGCAUAGAUACCAUCAGGAACACCGAUAGCGAAGGCAUUGUACUGCCCGACAACUGACGCUGAUGCACGAAAGUGUGGGGAUCGAACAGGAUUAGAAACCCUAGUAGUCC